GUGGAUUAGCCGCUGCGGGUUACCCACGGAGUGAAGCGUUCGAUGCUUGCCAAGAUGGAUGAAUUAUAGGUAAUUAGAAGCACAUCAUUAGGGAUAUAUUAGGGACAGUGGCAGUUGUUAUGGUACAUAGCCAUUUUAGGGGGGACUGUUGUGGAAAUAAGGUCUACACAUAUUUCCUAGUUAAGAGAAAAUGUCUAUUUACUCAUCUCACAAUAUAUUAUAGAGUUAAGCACACAUGUUUAAUCAAAAUGGCUGCUAGAAGCUUCUAGCCCCUCCACCCUCUCCUCCCCUCCCUUCAUAACAUCGACUAACUACCUCGUGCAACAAGAUGGCGCCGGGAAACCGUGGGAGACCCUCAUGGCCCCGGUGACAUCACCUAUAGUAGGCAGAGCAUUAGAACAACCACUUAACACCUAACCAAUAAUUGAUGUAUUAUUCCAUGUUAUCUCUGACAAUGCUUAUGAUGUAACUUUGCUUUAAAAGGGACCUGCCGUCCCCUCUGAAUAAACAUUCCUCAAGUUAUUCAACAACCUGGAACCUGUGUCUGGUGUGAAUUACUUCAGGGAGCGUGCAC